rnacentral:rRNA from 1 species
UACGUAGGGUGCAAGCGUUGUCCGGAAUUAUUGGGCGUAAAGAGCUCGUAGGCGGUCUGUCGCGUCGAAUGUGAAAACUUGGGGCUUAACCCUGAGCUUGCGGUCGAUACGGGCAUGACUGGAGUUCGGCAGGGGAGACUGGAAUUCCUGGUGUAGCGGUGAAAUGCGCAGAUAUCAGGAGGAACACCGGUGGCGAAGGCGGGUCUCUGGGCCGAUACUGACGCUGAGGAGCGAAAGCGUGGGGAGCGAACAGG